GGCCAGACGCCUUUAUGAUGUGAGAAGGGCGAACAAAAGUAAACAAACGGUGUUAACAAGAAUGUUCGAGCAGGAAAUCAAACGAUACAGGCCAAAUAAAAUACCACAGCUCACUUUAGUGCACAAAAGGAGGCGCCUUCCUUUUGCGCAAAACUACGCAAACUUGACUGUUGAGCAAUGGAGCAAUGUUUCGUGGUCUGAUGAGACCAGAUUGUCAUUAAGAGAUCCUGAUGGACGUCAGAGAGUCUUUAGAAGACCAAUUCAGAGAUAUGCACCAUGUGCGCAACUUGGAACCGUUCAAUAUGGAGGAGGUUUCAUUAUGGUCUGGGGAGGAGUUUCAUAUGAAGCAAAGACAGAUCUCGUUUUCUUCCAGAAUCCCCGUUUAAACGCAGAUUUGCACAUAGCAAAUGUAUUGGAGGAACAUGUCGUCCCAUUCGCUCCAUUUAUCGGUGCUAACUUCAAACUCAUGCAAGACAACGCGUGCCCACUCGUGGCGUGAGUGGUGACUCAGUACCUGGACCAUGUCGGUAUCGAGCGCUUAACGUGGCCUGCACUGAGUCCAGACAUCAAUCCAAUUGAGCACGUACGCGAUAUGUUGAAACGUCGUGUGAGAAGCCAUACCACCGCUCCAACAUGUCUUGUUCAACUGAGGGCAGCCAUUCUUCAGUCGCGGGAGGACAUUUCUCAGGUGGAAAUCAAAACCAUCAUCGAUGGAUACCCAGAGCGCCUGGCAGCUAUCCGAAGGGCACGAGGAGGCAAUAUCAGAUACUAGACUAGCCCUCAGAAACAUAUCAGGGAUAAUUUUGUAAAAAUACAACCGUUUUCUAUUGCCUUGUUAUUCAUUCCAUAUAUGCUUCUUUUUAUUAUUAUUCUCUCUUUUU
rnacentral:lncRNA from 1 species